ACCUAGAAAUAGGGGAAAACAUAAGCAAAGCCACCACUGGAAUAUGAAAAUUAAAUUUGACAGUUGGAGAGAGAGAGAGAGAGAGAGAGAGACUUCUAUAAAUUCCAGUUCCACAAAAUCCAUUCCAGGAUAGCUUUAAAAGGGAAAUCAAGGUAACCCCAAAUUAGUAUGUGCAACUCAUAUAUGCACCCCAUCACAUAGGAUGAGAAAUGGAUUGCAGCUUAGCAGAUCAUGGAGCACCAUAGAGAAACAAAUUUUUUGAAAUGCUUAAUGGUAACACCAGGGUGACUUACUCGACGAACAAUAUCCAAGCAAAGGUGGCGUUGGAUGUCUCGACGGAGAUCUUUAGGUUUUGGGGAAGUUGGCGAUGUCUCAUCCAUUCUUCAGUGUUCGUCGCUUGAGCCUCCACUCUUCAAGUCUGACAGUGAUAGAUUGCAAGUAGGUCUAAACCGUAGAAAGCAUGUUAAAAGUAUGAGCUACUGAAUGUUUUAAAAAAAAAGAUGUUCCGUAGAUAAUAAGAGUACACAAUUAAAUGAUUUGCAAUGUGAUUUGCAACAGUUACAUAAUAAACAUGCUGAGGUAUACUGUAAAGUAUAAACCAAAAGGAAGAAGUACAAGCUUCCUUGCAUUCUGCUAGAUGUAAGUGAUUGUACACUUCUAUUUGAUUACCAUAUUUAUUUAAUUUUGUAUCUCAA